CAAAGUGUAGCUUAAAUACAAAGCACCCGGCUUACACCCGGAAGAUUUCAUGAACAAGACCACUUUGA
rnacentral:tRNA from 1 species